GCAGGAGGAUGACUCCAAGGUGGGGAUGAAAGGAGAUGCUCACAUCCAGCCCUGGUGCCUGGUGAGGACUAGAGACUAGGAGAUGGAGAAGGAGGAGUACUUGGUUGGGCACCGGAAAAGUACCCCUGGAAAAAUAAUUAUCAGCAGCAAACCGACGGACUUGUCAUUGGGCACUCAAUGAUGCUCCAUUCCUCAAAACUCAUUUCUUUUGGAAGGAACCACAGUCGCAAGCAAUGUGGAAUAGUAUGUUUUGUUGGGAGAAAACUGCAACAGAUGACAGAGCAGCCUGAUGUGCAGCUAUCAGAAGAGGAAUUCCUCUCCUUGAGCAGACAUCUCUAAAUCAGAUCCAGUCUUGGGGAGCCAAUUCGAGAAAGACUCAGCAGACACAUUGGCAUCUACCACUGAGAUACUGUCUGGGGGAACCAAUCAGAGGAAGCGAAAA